rnacentral:rRNA from 1 species
URAAGCUAAAUAUUGGCGAGAGACCGAUAGCGAACAAGUWCCGUGAGGGAAAGAUGAAAAGCACUUUGGAWAGAGAGUUAAACAGUACGUGAAAUUGUUAAAAGGGAAACGAUUGAAGUCAGUCGUGUUUAUAGGAUUCAGCCGGUCUUGUGGUGUACUUCCUUUAAACGGGUCAACAUCAGUUUUGUCCGGUGGAUAAAGGCAGUAGGAAUGUGGCUCCCUCGGGAGUGUUAUAGCCUAUUGUCACAYWCACUGGAGGAGAYUGAGGACUGCAGCUCGCCUUUUGGCCGGGGUUCGCCCACGUUC